AACCUCCGCAAUGUGAGAAAUCGCGACGGGGGGAUCCCAAGUGCCAUUCUUAACGGGAUGGCUUUUCAUUAGUGUAAAGAGCUUUUGGAAUAAGAGCUGGGCAAGACCGGUGCCAGCCGCCGCGGUAACACCGGCGGCUCUAGUGGUAGCAAUUUUUAUUGGGCCUAAAGCGUCCGUAGCCGGUUUAAUAAGUCUCUGGUGAAAUCCUGUAGCUUAACUGUGGGAAUUGCUGGAGAUACUAUUAGACUUGAGACCGGGAGAGGUUAGAGGUACUCCCAGGGUAGAGGUGAAAUUCUGUAAUCCUGGGAGGACCGCCUGUUGCGAAGGCGUCUAACUGGAACGGUUCUGACGGUGAGGGACGAAAGUUAGGGGCGCGAACCGGAUUAGAUACCCGGGUAGUCCUAACUGUAAACGAUGCGGACUUGGUGUUGGGGUGGCUUUGAGCUGCUCCAGUGCCGAAGGGAAGCUGUUAAGUCCGCCGCCUGGGAAGUACGGUCGCAAGACUGAAACUUAAAGGAAAU
rnacentral:rRNA from 1 species